rnacentral:tRNA from 1 species
UCCCCGAUAGCUCAACGGUAGAGCAUCUCGCUGUUAACGAGAGGGUUGUAGGUUCGAAUCCUACUCGGGGAGCCA